rnacentral:miRNA from 14 species
UAAGAGUUGUUCGCUACUUAACG